AUUGAACGCUGGCGGCAUGCCUUACACAUGCAAGUCGAACGGCAGCACGGGUGCUUGCCCCUGGUGGCGAGUGGCGAACGGGUGAGUAAUACAUCGGGACAUGUCCUGUAGUGGGGGAUAGCCCGGCGAAAGCCGGAUUAAUACCGCAUACGAUCUACGGAUGAAAGCGGGGGACCUUCGGGCCUCGCGCUAUAGGGUUGGCCGAUGGCUGAUUAGCUAGUUGGUGGGGUAAAGGCCUACCAAGGCGACGAUCAGUAGCUGGUCUGAGAGGACGACCAGCCACACUGGGACUGAGACACGGCCCAGACUCCUACGGGAGGCAGCAGUGGGGAAUUUUGGACAAUGGGCGAAAGCCUGAUCCAGCAAUGCCGCGUGUGUGAAGAAGGCCUUCGGGUUGUAAAGCACUUUUGUCCGGAAAGAAAUCCUUGGCCCUAAUACGGUCGGGGGAUGACGGUACCGGAAGAAUAAGCACCGGCUAACUACGUG
rnacentral:rRNA from 1 species